CCUACUCUCUCCUUCACUUCCUUCCCUUACAGCUUCUUGCACUGUUUUGAAGAAGAAGCCCAGCGUUCUCCAGGAUUUUUAUGCAUUCGAUUUCUACAUCUUUUACGUGUGAUCUCUGUGGCUUUAAGAUCCCAUAAGUUGAGUGGGCUCCCCCGUUAUCUAAGAAAAGUUGUUUAAAUGCUUUGCUCUGCAAGCACCAGCAGAGAACUCAUAAAAACGGAAGACAGUAGCAGAUGCAAUCGCGGAUGUGGCUUUAGUCUUUGCAGCUGCCCCAGAGAGCUGUUCAGAGCAGACAGUCCUCAGCAAUGAAUCCAGAAGAGCAAAUCGUGACAUGGCUUAUAUCCUUGGGGGUUUUAGAUUCCCCCAAAAAGACCAUCUGUGAUCCGGAGGAGUUCUUGAAGUCUUCGCUGAAAAAUGGGGUAGUGCUGUGCAAACUGAUCAACAGACUUAGGCCUGGCUCUCUAGAAAAGUUCUGUUUGGAGCCGCAAACCGAAGCCGACUGCCUCAACAACAUCAGUGACUUCCUGAAAGGAUGUGCAACCCUUCAGGUGGAGGUAAGCCCGCCCAGGCCCUGCUAAGGAAGAUGCUGUUGUACUAAAAGCGCUUGGUUGAUUUUGACCCUUGAACAGAGGUAGCGCUUCAGGGAAACCGUGGUUAAGAUUGGUGGUCUGCAGUGGUGGCUCGUCAGUCUGCCUUUUCCAGAAACCAGUUCCGAAGCAAAAGAAAACAAAAUCUACAACUCACAAUGUGAUAUAU